rnacentral:rRNA from 1 species
GCUGGUGACCAUACCGGAGGGGCCAUACCUGAUUCCAUCCCGAACUCAGAAGUCAAGCCCUCCAGGGCCGAUGGUACUGCGUGGGAAGCCGCGUGGGAGAGUAGGACGUUGCCGGCC